ACAAUCAAAAUACAAGGGUAUAAU
rnacentral:siRNA from 1 species